UCAAUCCCGGCUAUUAAAAAGCAAAGAAAGGAACAAUCACCGAUAAGACUGUCAGUGUCCAUUGACCGUUUGCAUCGAUUUAUCGGCUAGUUUACUACGACUUCAAUAUAGUCCUGAUAUGUCGGUCGGAUUUGCAGUCCACAAUUUCUUCGCAUUGAAUAUUGCUCGAGUGCUCGAUAGAUAGAUUCACGUAUACCUAUUGAACGUCCAUGAACUGCUGCCUGUGUGCUAAUAGGUGUAGGUGUUCUCUUUCCAAGUACUGGGGUGGGAUGAUGUGCCCGCGUCAUGGUUAUGUACGUAGAGCUGCGUAUGGAACGGAUUGGGCAUGGUUUGGGGUCGUUCCACAUUGCAGAACGCAAUUUAUGGUUAAAGUUGUUCAUGGCAUGGUGCUCAGUGUGGCUCUAGUUGAACACGGGAUUGGGAUGGACUCAAAUAUCCCAAAUAUAGUAUAUAACAAAUUCAACAUAUCUUGCAUUUCAAAUCGUUUUCAUCGCUAACGUUAAGCUGAAGUUGAGUAGCAAAGUACAUGUAGUAUCCUGCCCUGUAUAUCACGUGACAGAUAAGCCCACGAAGUCUAGCUGUAGCGUAUUCUAUCAAGGUUCAUCACAUCUGAUACUUUACUUUUACACAUUAGUUAGCUCUGAUAAUGCGUCCUGCAGUUAGAUACAUGUACCAAGAAUUCUUUACGUACUAUAGCAUAACAUUUCUCUGAAUGUCCUAUGGUACAUCCCCUUCCCCCGCGGACUUAGCCCUGAUCGGUGCAAGGUAACCACAAAAGCUGUUUUUCUGACACCAUCCUGUUUGGUUCCUCAUUGUACUGUUGUCAACCUCUGGCCUCACGGAGAAGGCAGAACUGUUGUCUGGGAAAGGGCGACGGGUUUUCGCUGCUUAAGGUUUGAACCGACAUCUUAAGGGCCUUAAUUGUUUUUAAGGUGGCUGUAUUGUUAGCAACACCAAUAUCAGUACUUGGCGAACACCCAGCGGGGUACAGGACACGGAACGUGAGACAUCGUGCACAGCUGAUCCUACAACACGCUCAGUCAGAGUCCUUCUUCCACAUCGAUUGUAUGUCACGUGCCGCUUACAAAGGUACAUCCUGAAGAGGGCGCCGACUCCACUGCAAAGCAGUGCAAUAGCAAUAGCACUGAGCUGGACAACCCUGGGUUAGAUGACAGAAAUAAAUAAGUAAAUAAAUAAAAUACAGUACUUGCAUUCGCCAGGCAGAUCAAGAGUAGAGAGAGGCUUGACUACCGACUACCAGAAAACCGGCUUUGGCCAACCGACUGAUUCUUCUCAGUGUUGAAGCACCCGAGUGCCGAUCGGUGGAAUGCUGUACCUGGCCCUAACGCAGCGACCCUGCACACAGAUCACCCCGGCUCGCUGCUGCGAACUCGCCAUCCUCCCUCAACACUGGGACGAGCAGCCCUGUAUCUACUACUUCUCCUUCGUCUGCCACACCCUGACGGAGAAACGCUUCAUCGACACCGUCAUCUUCAGGUGCGCGCUUCAGCUCAUGCUGCCUGUCAAUCAAAGUGCAACAAAAAAUGGCGGGAACUCCACGCGGACGAAAGGGUCUCCCCUCUGCUGGACGAAGAACAGACGGACGGAGUACAGCACGUCAUUGGUCAUCCUGCCCCAGAACGUGUCCAUGACGUACCGGACCGAGGUAAAGACGUCUUUAACGGACUGCAAGGCUUGGUACAAGACGUCAGUGGAGCUUAUUCCACGGAGAUACACAAACAUGAAGGUCCUCUAUAGGUAUUCUCGGUAAAGGUAGAAGUCUCUUCACGUUUCAGGUUUUAUUUGGACGAUGUCUUAUCAAUGUUUACGUACAAGAACUUUUGUUUUGGCUGGAGAAUUUCUUUCAAGUAAUAAAUAUGCAUGAGAUGUGGCUCAUACAGACUUGUAUACCAUGGCUGUUCUGGCCAGGUUCUCAACACACACAAAACUUAACUUGUGUACUUCACAGAUGUGCCAGAAUGCGUGUACAUUUUUCGAAACUUAUUCUGUGGCAAAAAGAGAGUUGGAUGUUUUAGUCUCCCCUUCAAUUCAAAGUCUUUCUCAAGGUCAAUGAUACCAGUCACUAGUAUAUGAAAUCGUCCAACUAAUGCAGGGUAAUAAUGAACAGAGUGACAAGUGACAGGUAAAUAUAAAAUAUAAAACAGUGAUUUUAAUCCUUAGGUUGGAACAGUUACACCUUUGUUCCAAUGCAGACAAUGCAUUGCCUCAUUUCCUCCAAGACCUAAAUGUAUACAUGGUACAAGUACUGUAGUGAAAGCAA